rnacentral:ncRNA from 1 species
UUUAAAGCUAAGACAGAGAAAAAGAUAUGGAUCUUUAUCAAAGAGAGUCGGAGUUGGUGUGAGCCGAUAUAAAGUAAGUAUGUAAUAUUCACUCUUGAGCUUAAUGGUAGAAAUUUUUAAGUAGACUAUUACGGCGGCCACCGUUAUCUAAGGCAAGGCGUUUAUUGACGCUAGUGAGGUAAUCUAUACAUAAAAUUAGAUUAUAAAAUUAGGUGGUACCACGAUGCUUCGUCCUAUGU